rnacentral:rRNA from 1 species
CUUUAACUUACAUUCACAUCGCCCGGGAACUACGAGCUAAGCUUAAAACCCAAGGGACUUGACGGUACCCCACAUCCACCUAGAGGAGCCUGUCCUAUAAUCGAUAAUCCCCGUUUAACCUCACCACUCUUAGCCUAUCAGCCUGUAUACCUCCGUCGUCAGCUUACCACGUGAGCGACUCCAGUGAGCUUGAUGUCUACUCGUCAAAACGUCAGGUCAAGGUGCAGCUUAUAGAGCGGGAAGAGAUGGGCUACACUCUCUAACCUAGAAAACACGAAAGACUAUUUAUGAAACCUAGUCGGAAGGCGGAUUUAGUAGUAAAAAGAGACAAGAAAGCUCUUUUUAACAAGGCACUGGGGUGUGUACACACCGCCCGUCACCCCCU